UUUGCAUGUCGGUGGGGGUUUCUCCGUUGGCCAUCUGGUGGUCUUGUCUUUUCAGCCCUCAGGCGGGAGAUUAUGGCCAUCUUGGGCCAGCUAACCCCUCCCUGGCCCAAUACUAUUCAACUGGGCCCUACAGUAUUGGGCCCGGUCUGUAUUGGGCCCGGACAUUACAUCCUUCCCCCCUUAAAUAAAUUUCGUCCUCGAAAUUAAGCAUACCUUGGUUCUCGAAGAGCUGAGGGUAACAUUGUCGCAUCUCUUCUUCCAAUUCUCAGGUGGCUUCCCUUUCAGUGUGAUUGGUCCACUGGACCUUAACGUAGGGAAUGGUGCGCCUUCGGAGGAUCUGCUCUUUUCUGUCGACGAUGCGCAAGGGAGCCUCCUCAUAGGUUAAAUCUUUAUUUAAUUGCAGAGGCUCAUGUGGCACCACAUGACUGGGAUCCGGGAUGUACCUCCGCAGUAGUGAGACAUGGAAGAUGUCGUGUACGCCCGAUAGCUCCGGGGGUAGGGCCAAUUUGUAGGCAACCUUGCCUAUCCUGGCAAGAAUCUCGAAUGGGCCGAUGUAGCGAGGACUUAGCUUGCCGUGUCUUCCGAAUCGGGUGAUACCCUUCGAUGGAGAAAUUUUUAGGAAGACAAAGUUCUCCUCCAAAAAUUCCAAGGCCCUUCUUCCUCUAUCAGCCCAUCUUUUCUGUCUGUCUUGGGCAGCCUGAAGCCUUUGCUUAAU
rnacentral:lncRNA from 1 species